rnacentral:lncRNA from 1 species
CAUGCAUAUCAAAUUAUUCCAAUACAAGUAAAUGAAUGGGACAGAAUUCUGGUAGAUGAAUACAUCUAUAAUUACCAUGGACUUCAGGUGAUUCAUUAACUACUUUUUAAGCUUUUUUGAGGAGUCUUACAAAAAAUCCUUAUUCUCCACAGCCCCCAAAUUAACCAAUAAUAUUAAUAAUAGUAAAUGUUUUAAAGCAAUCCAACCUAUCCAAGUGGCUAAUAUAUUUGAUAUUUUAUUUUCAUCUGUCCUUGCUUUCAGAAUGAACAUGUGACUUUUAUAAAGUUUAGACUCUAGAACAAACUGUAUUCCACUUACUAUUUCAAAAACUGGCAAAUUAAACUCUCCACCUUGAAUGAGAAAGAAGGUAGCUAGAACAUGAGUGGUGCUCUUGGUAUCCCUUGGAGACCAGGUUAGAGGGCAGAGAGAAAGGAGGAUGUUAUAAGAGUCAGCUGGAGUAGGUGAGGGAUGCAGGGGAGGAGAAGAGGGGCUGUUGAAGCCCCUGAACAUUCUCUGCACAUGACACAGCGUUUCUGUGGGGAAAUUAUAUUUCUUGCUACAGUUAGGGAAUAAAGAUGAAGGUAGUUGCUGUGGCAUAAGCCUGGCAGAAUCAAGUCAUGAGAGAAAGCAAAAGGAAAAGAAAGGGAAGCAAAGGAAGGGGAGGGGAGGGGAGGAAAGGGGGGGGGUGCUUGGGAAGAAAACGAGAAAGAGGAGGUCUAAUUUUCAAUUCAGAAUCCGAAAAGGACAUUCACUUCACUUUCCCUGAUAACAUCAAGAGGGGAAUCUAGAUCUGUUAAGUGGCGCCCUAUGGUAUGAACAACCUUGGUCCUUAACUCAGAGAGCACUAAUAUUCCCUGAAAAGAUCAAGUUAUUACAGUUUGGAAAUUCACUCCGUUUAAAAUUCCACUUACCUUUAGAUUAAUUAUUGAAAUUUUUAGAUGCAGUUUACAGACACCUGUAGAACCAGGAGCACUUUCUUCCUCCAAAAUAUAUCUUUAAUGAGUAUUAUUUAAUGAUAAUGCUGUUUAGAAAAGCAAAUACAUCUUCCGCUUUUAUGUUAGUUAAAAAUAAGUAGAUUAUAAGUAGAGGAGAAAUUGUUAAUUAUAUCUUGUGGGCAGUUUAGGUGAUCUCUACUUAUAUAUUUAAAAACAGUAUCUAUUAUCUAUAGAUCUGAAGUUAUAUCUAAAUUAUAUAAAAUUUAGAAAAAUUUAAGAAAGUCUUUGUUUAGGCAGUAACUGACAAUUUUCACAAUUUGAUAUGUUUUUCUAAAUAAUGAUUUUCCUUUGACCUGAAUCUCUGGUGAAGUACAAAUGAUAACUCUAUGAUCAAUUUAAAAUGAAUUUAUCUAAGCAAAAUUCCUAAGAAGAAGAACUUUGUAAUGAUAAAUUAGAGACUGGAAUGAGUUUCUUUUUCUUUUCUUAAAUAUCAUGAUCGUUCAGUGAAAACUGAGAGAGUCGGAAUAUUUCUGGACUAUUGUGCUUUGAUUCCAUACAACUUUUGUGUAACUUUUAACAAUGAAAAUACUGAAGGGCAAAAUAUUUGAAUGAAUAAAAAUGUAUCUAUGCGUUAGUGAAUAUUCACUUUUGAACAAAAUCUUUAUCAACAUCUUAAAUGUAACAAGCUGCAUUACUUUUUAAGUACCAUCCAUGCAACCAUAUGAAGGCUUCAUUUUCUAAUAAGAUGUUUGCUUUCACUUGUAGAGUUGGAUCAUUGAGUCCUCAGUGUAACUAUUCCUCAUGCUCAUGGAUGAAAAGUUUGGAAAAUAAUCUAUGGAUUAGCAUAUGGUGAAGGUAAUAGAACCUGACUUUAUUCACAUCUGGGUAAAAGAAGUCAAGCUUGGUAUGGGAGAAGAAGCGGAAUAUAGGCACGUAUUGUAAAUAGACAUCUGACUAUUAGGCCCAGACUCUGACGCUCAGAGUGGGCAAAACCAGGAGCUGUCACGGAAUGGGCUCUGCGUUGGGGCCCAGUUUCAAGAAGGCCUCAGAACAACUUUGGAAGAUGAAUUGAUCCUGUUGCAUGAGCCUGGAAGCCUUGUUAAGUCACUUGACCUCCAGUCAGGUCAGCGUAUGGUUAGCUACCCGGACACAUCUUUCUACCAGACACUCUGGCCUUCAGAUUCCAGAGGAGCCAGUGGGCAGGGGUGUCUGUUUUUCACUGACAUUUGCAGGGUGGGUACACCUCUAGAGAGAAGGUCACAUCUCUUGCCAGGAAAUGCAGAGUCUGAGCAAUCGAGGGAAAGGCAGAGGUUAGCUCAACUUCAUCUGCCAUGUGGACCCCCAUGCUGAGCUGAAGAGUGUUCUGGUUAGAAGCAGAUUGUGGGUGGCCAAUGCCUUGCCUAUGGAACUAUAUCAUGGUUAAUUCUGGAUCAUCAGGAAAUCUAAUGAAUUUGACCUGAUUCAAUAAUGUCUUUCACUCAGUAAUCUGAUCACUUCUGUUCCAGGAGUAGCCUUCCUCAGUCUGCCCUAAUCUAAUGGUACGAAAACAGGCAUGUUUAAUUUUAGCCUAUUGCAAAAGAAGACCCAGGGCAGUAGACUGCAUCUACCUUAUGCUUGUUUUUGGAAGGAAAUUUACACUGGCCACGGUCAAUACUCAGCGUGUGACAAUGGUCACUGUCAAGGCCUGUAGGCCCACGCUGGAGAGAGCCUGGCACCUCACAAUGCAAUCCAAUCACUCCAGCUUGUCACAUAUUCAGAAGUUCAGAAAGCUCAGCAGUGACAGGUUUAUUUUUCAGAAACGCUGAGCUACAAAUUACUAAUAUAUCAGGCAGCCAGAAUCACUGGGCUGACUGCAGGUCUGAUUACCAUGGGUAACUGACACUAAGCCAUUCUGGGAGAUCCUCUCCCUUAAAUAGUUACAUUUCAGUGCUGCUGAAAUUCCGUGACCAAUCAGAUGCAGACAAUAGGUAGGGGCUUCUGAUUAGCACUCUGAUUUCCAGCUGUGCUCGAAGUGACUCAGGAGAUCAGUGGAAAAGUAGUUCAGUCACCCCAAAAUGAUAGGUUCCUACUCCUUGUUCCAUUCUCUAUCCCUGGAAAGCCACCAUGGCCCUUCCAAGGCAUUGAAUGUGGCACACUGAGAAUUACAGCAGCCCAGUGCUUUUCAAAGCACAACUGCCUGGGUCAAACAAAGAAACAAAAAAUAAGACUCUAAGGUCACUGCAUUGCUCCCCAAGUGCCCUUGAGACUGAAUCACCCUGGACUUCAUAUCAGAUUUCUCCCUGUUCUGGGGCCACCAAACAAUUCUGAUGGUGGUGGCUAUCCUUAUCAAAACAGUAAAUGUCAUUCCCCAACUGCUUAAACUAUGCUUUAUUUAUCAGUGAGGUGGUAGCCUACCUCAGGAUCACUUUUAUAGUAAUUUCCAUGGUCUUACUAUUUAAAGGAAUGUUUCCAGAAGUAUCUACAUCUGAAUUCACCUGUCUACUGCUAUUACCUAGCCAGGGAUAGUAAGAAAGACACUUUUGGUUGGAAUUUCUCUGGUGUCACAAAAUACAUAGGCAUUAUGACUUGUUCUGCCUACCUUGUAACUGCAAAAUUCACACAGUAUUUUUCCACACGGAAUACCCUCUUCUAUAAUGACUACUGCCACCCUCUUUAUUUCACUGCUAAGAUUGAUACCUCAAAGAGGUAUAAGCCACCCCCAAAAAGCUUAGAGGUGACAUUGAUCAAUGUGUCAAAGACUACUAUAGGCCCACUGUACCAAAUAAUAUGGCUAAGUCCUGACACCGGACAGGGGUGGUGGUGUGGGGGGUGUCUUUUAGGUGGGAGAGUUUAUGGUUCUCAGUCCUACAUAUCUGAGCCAAAUUAAAAUUUAAACACUUUCUUGGAUCCAUUCAAGUUUUCAAGAUCACAAACCCCAUUGUGUUCUUCCUAUAUUUAUCUGUUAAGACAUAGCUUUAAAACAUUUUUUUUUUCUUUUGAGUCAGAGUCUCACUCUGUCACCCAGGCUGGAGUGCAGUGGCA